AAAGGAUGUCAAGUUUUCCAAGAUCAUUUGCAAGUCAUUUGAGGCCAGGAUAUAGACCUGCUCCAACUUCUUCUUCUGAUGGCAAUGGCUCUCUGGUGUCGGAUGGAGGGUCCAGGUAUUCAUGAUCAGGAGAUGACCUUGGAGGAGCAGCGGAAAGCAAUACUCGCGCUAAAGACUGAGAAGAGAAAACUAGUUGGAUCUAAAGAAAAUUCAGUGUACAAAUGCUAAAUGUAAUGUUUGGAUCAUAUUGGGGUUUACUGAUUGGAUCAUAUGUUCAGAUCAGUACUAAACGUGGUACUGUACUUUGCAAAUGCUAGAGUGGUAUUUCCUACUUGCAAAACAAAAUUCAGUUUAGCAUGUAAUGUUUGGAUCAUAAGUUUACAAAUGUUGAUUCUGAA